AGCAGCCGCGGUAAUUCCAGCUCCAAUAGCGUAUAUUAAAGUUGUUGCAGUUAAAAAGCUCGUAGUUGAAUUUCGAGACCGGCUUACUGGUCGUGCUAUUGUACGUACUGGUAUAAUCGGUUUCUCCUUUCUGACGAACUUUAAUGCCAUUAAUUUGGUGUUUUAGGGAAUCAGGACUGUUACUUUGAAAAAAUUAGAGUGUUUAAAGCAGGCUCACGCUUGAAUACAUUAGCAUGGAAUAACGGAAUAGGACGUUUGAUUCUAUUUUGUUGGUUUCUAGGAUCGACGUAAUGAUUAAUAGGGAUAGUUGGGGGCAUUAGUAUUCAAUUGUCAGAGGUGAAAUUCUUGGAUUUAUUGAAGACUAACUACUGCGAAAGCAUUUGCCAAGGAUGUUUUCAUUAAUCAAGAACGAAAGUUAGGGGAUCGAAGACGAUCAGAUACCGUCGUAGUCUUAACCAUAAACUAUGCCGACUAGGAAUCGGAUGAUGUUAAUUUUUAAUGACUCAUUCGGCG
rnacentral:rRNA from 1 species